GUCCAGACUCCUACGGGAGGCAGCAGUGGGGAAUAUUGCACAAUGGGGGAAACCCUGAUGCAGCGACGCCGCGUGAGUGAAGAAGUAUUUCGGUAUGUAAAGCUCUAUCAGCAGGGAAGAAAAUGACGGUACCCGACUAAGAAGCCCCGGCUAACUACGUGCCAGCAGCCGCGGUAAUACGUAGGGGGCAAGCGUUAUCCGGAUUUACUGGGUGUAAAGGGGGCGCAGACGGCGAUGCAAGCCAGGAGUGAAAGUCCGGGGGCCAACCCCGGGACUGCUCUGGAAACUGCGUCGCUGGAGUACGGGAGGGGCAGGCGGAAUUCCUGGUGUAGCGGUGAAAUGCGUAGAUAUCAGGAGGAACACCGGCGGCGAAGGCGGCCUGCUGGACCGUGACUGACGUUGAGGCUCGAGAGCGUGGGGAGCAAACAGGAUUAGAUACCCCUGUA
rnacentral:rRNA from 1 species